CCCCCACUAGUACAAAACAGUCUUAGUUGUGCCGAAUACAUGGCUGGGGAUUGGGAGCAGGGGAGCCAGGCACAAGCCGCCAUGCUGGGCUGGUGCUGGGGUCUUGCCACCCUACACACCAAGAGAGGCAGACCCUCUGGGUUCUCAGAGGCUCAGGGCAUUGCUUGCUGUGCUCUCUUCACGUUGGAGACGGCACAGAGCUUGCUCUGUACAAGCCUGGUGCUAGCCUGACAUCACGGAUGUGCACGGCUGGUGUGCCUCUAGGACAGAGCAUCCUUAGGGGUUGGUGUGGCGCUUCUGUGCAGGACUGGGCAGGGCUUAGCCCUCCCCAAAGCCGGGUGAGGCGUCACUCUAACUAACAAAGCCUGUUUUCCCUCCGUGCUGUUCGUCUUUCCUGCGAAGGGUGGCAGCCUGCAUGGCUCAGAACCAGAGCCUGGGGAACAUACGGGCGCUGCAGAAGCAGAACAGGUCACUGUUCUGGCAGUUCAGGGAGCUGCAAGCCUUUGUGAGCCAGCCCUCUAACAGGACUGCCGUGGCUAAAACCUACAUGACGGUGAGUGGCUUCAGCCUCAAUGUCUGUGAAGGGGUCUCUGCUGCUUGGGAGAGAAGUGUUUACUGCUGUGAGUGAUGCCUGUCUGUGCCCGUUGCUGAGGUCUGUGCCCAUCUGUUUCCAGGCCAUUCUGUCCUUCGGUGUCUUUUUCUCGCAGAGGGCCUGCAUGAUUGAAAGCAUCAAGGCAAAUCUGGGUCUUGAAGAAAUUCAAUACCUGAUGCUCUGGCAGCAGCUGAUUUCGAGCUGGUUCCCUCUGAGCCUCCUCAGCAGCACUCCCAGGGCAGCCUAUCACAGCCAGAAGUGCCUGUGCUGUGGAAGCGGAAGAGGAAGGUGUGGCCUGAUCAUGCUGCCCCAGAGGGGUAAUCCAGCAGCACCCUGCAGAUGUGACUUCUGCAACUUCCUCCUGCUUCUCGGAGUGACCCUGGGCAUCCUACCGGAAAGGGACGAGUAGA